AGUGAACGCUGGCGGCGUGCUUAACACAUGCAAGUCGAACGAGAACGGAUUAUAGCUUGCUAUAAUUGUCAGCUAAGUGGCGCACGGGUGAGUAAUGUAUAGGUAAUAUGCCUCUUACUAAGGGAUAACAAAUGGAAACGUUUGCUAAUACCUUAUACUCCUUAUUAACAGAAGUUAAUAAGGGAAAGAUUUAUUGGUAAGAGAUUAGCCUGUAUUGUAUCAGUUAGUUGGUGGGGGUAUGGCUUACCAAGACUAUGACACAUAACUGGUUUGAGAGGAUGAUCAGUCACACUGGAACUGAGACACGGUCCAGACUCCUACGGGAGGCAGCAGUGGGGAAUAUUGCACAAUGGACGAAAGUCUGAUGCAGCAACGCCGCGUGGAGGAUGACACAUUUCGGUGCGUAAACUCCUUUUAUAUGAGAAGAUAAUGACGGUAUUAUAUGAAUAAGCACCGGCUAACUCCGUGCCAGCAGCCGCAGUAA
rnacentral:rRNA from 1 species